rnacentral:lncRNA from 1 species
CAUGGGCAAAGCACUCUGCUGCGGCGAGCAGCCGGUUCUUAUUGCAUUCACCAAGAUAGUCUUGCUCGCUCCUUUCCUUACAGUCAAGUGGCUUUCCGCUCCUGAACUCUGCGGCGAGUUCAGCCACCACCUCCGGGUCUGGGCUCUGCUCGAGCGUAGUCAGCCAGCUUCGUGACUUUGCUUAGCUUCCAGCCUUGCAAAGGGAUAACCUUUCACUAUCUAGGCGCCCUCGAAGGAGGGGUCCCACAGACUUCUUCCCCGA